AGAGUUUGAUCAUGGCUCAGGACGAACGCUGGCGGCGUGCUUAACACAUGCAAGUCACGGGGGGUAGCAAUACCAACCGGCGAACGGGUGCGUAACACGUGAGCAACCUACCGAUUUGUGGGGGAUAGCUGUCCUAACGGGCAGGUAAUACCGCAUACGCUUGUAAGGCCUCCUGGUCUAACAAGGAAACCUCCGGGGCAAAUCGAGGGGCUCGCGGCCUAUCAGCUAGUUGGUGCGGUCACGGCGCACCAAGGCGACGACGGGUAGCUGGUCUGAGAGGAUGGCCAGCCACAUUGGGACUGAGAAACGGCCCAGACUCCUACGGGAGGCAGCAGUGGGGAAUCUUGCGCAAUGGGCGAAAGCCUGACGCAGCGACGCCGCGUGGGGGAUGACGGGUUUCGGCUUGUAAACCCCUGUUGCCCGGGACGAACUUCUCCUUUCGAGGAGAUUGACGGUGCCGGGUGAGGAAGCACCGGCUAACUCUGUGCCAGCAGCCGCGGUAAUACAGAGGGUGCGAGCGUUGUCCGGAAUCACUGGGCGUAAAGGGCGCGUAGGUGGCGCUCCAAGUCCAUGGUGAAAGCUCGAUGCUCAACAUCGAGUCGGCCACGGAUACUGGGGGGCUCGAGCACUGUAGAGGCAGAUGGAAUUCCGGGUGUAGCGGUGGAAUGCGUAGAGAUCCGGAAGAACACCGGUGGCGAAGGCGGUCUGCUGGGCAGUUGCUGACACUGAGGCGCGACAGCGUGGGGAGCAAACAGGAUUAGAUACCCUGGUAGUCCACGCCGUAAACGAUGGGCACUAGAUGCUUGGGGGAGCGACCCCCUGAGUGUCGUCGCUAACGCAGUAAGUGCCCCGCCUGGGGAGUACGGCCGCAAGGCUGAAACUCAAAGGAAUUGACGG
rnacentral:rRNA from 1 species